UGCCUUGUAUAGUGGUCAGCACGUUCGACUCGUAAUUGAGAGGUCCGUGGUUCGAGUCCAGGCAGGGCAU
rnacentral:tRNA from 1 species